rnacentral:lncRNA from 1 species
CGGUGUUGGACCUAGGGUUUUCUCUGUUGAUUGAAGGCCGAUCUUCUCCUGUCGCGAAGAAGGACGGUAACUCUGUUCUUAUUUUGAGUAUUGUAUGCUUUGUAUGUGAACUCUGGUUUCGUUAUGUUUUGCUUACCGAAACUGUUCUCUUUUCAAACUUGUCCAUUAAUCAUGGCUUCCAAUACGAAUGCUAGUACCUCCUCGGUAGACUCUACCAGCCCCCUUUUUGUCUACUCCUCUGAU